rnacentral:rRNA from 1 species
UACGUAGGGGGCAAGCGUUGUCCGGAAUCAUUGGGCGUAAAGAGCGCGUAGGCGGUCCGGUAAGUCCGCUCUGAAAGCCCCCGGCUCAACUGGGGAGGGUCAUUCGAUACUGAUCGACUCGAAGGCAGGAGAGGGUAGUGGAAUUCCCGGUGUAGUGGUGAAAUGCGUAGAUAUCGGGAGGAACACCAGUGGCGAAGGCGACUACCUGGCCUGUUCUUGACGCUGAGGCGCGAAAGCUAGGGGAGCAAACGGG